CCUUCCUAAGAUCAGUGAAGGGUCCACAAACUGGCUGACUCAUCCCCCGGAAGAGAGAGCAGCUUAGAGCAGGCAAGAGGGAGUUCACAAGGAUGGCACCUCUGAUCUGGGCUGUGGGAUGAGGACAUGAAGGGGCAGGGACUUCAGUCUCACGGACCCCACAAAUUCAAGGACUGCUCCAGAGCACAAGGACCUGGCACCACAGAAGUGUAGCACUGGGGUCACCUGCAGAGUUCCAAUGUCAGCGGGAUGCUGAGAAGAGGGGCAUCCAGGGCCACACUAUGGCAGGUGGGGAAGUAUCAGGGAUCUGGCCAAGGUCCCCAGCUGCCUGUAAGAGAGAAAAGAAGCAAAUGGGAUCAUCUGGAGACCAUGAGAUGCUCGUGGUGGAGCAAGCUGUUCUAACCCUCUCCACGAGCCCUCUCAAGCACAGCUGAGGAGCCAGCCUAACCUUCUGUAGCCUCCCUCCCCAAGCAGAGUUGCUGUGGUCAUCAGGUUCAAGCCUCCUGCACAUACUCUUCAGUCUUCCAGUGUGGACCCCUCAACCUUCUACCACCCUUCUGGUUCCUGACACGGACAUGCAUGGACUCCGCAUUGCGCUCCAGGCCCUGGAUUUUUGACUCAGUCUUCAGAUCCCUGGCGUGCAGAUGGCCAUUUUGCAUUCUUCCAUACUCAACUCUGCAAGUGGCCAUUGUAAGUCUACCUUGUAAAUCAUAUAUACGUGAGGUAGGUAAUGUGUACCAAAAUACAGGUAUACAAGAGGAAUUAUUCCUUGCAUUCUAUAAUGCAGUAGAUAGUUUAGGGAAAACUUGUAUAUAAGAGAAAUCGUGCAAUAUUUAAAUUUAUUGAAAUAAAGGAUAGAUAAUGGGAAGCAGGAAGAACAAAUGGGAAGAGGAAAAAAAGAUGGAAGGAAGGAAAAAAUUAAAGAAUGGAAAGGAAAAAGGGAAAUAGAGCUUUUUCAAAUGAGAAGGGGAUCAAGAAUGAGCAGGGAGGAAUGGGAAGAAAAGGUGACAGAAUGAUUGAAAAUGUGGUAUAUACAUGUACACACUCCCCACAAUAAAUGUAAUCAUUAUGUACUGCAAGCAUAUAGUCUUAAAAAUGUAUAAUAAAAAAAUCAGGCCACUCCUUCUGUAUAUGUAAGAUAUAAACUGUUGUUUUAGAAAAAAAAUUUUAAAUAUAUUUUAUUAAAAAAAUAAGAUGAAAGCGGAUUGAAGAUUCCAAGCACAAGAAAUGAUAAAUGUUUAAGGAAAUGAAAAGGUUAAUUGUCCAUAUUUAUUCAUUAUACACUGUGUACAUGUAUCAAAUUAUCACACUGUACCCCAUAAAUAUGUACAAUUAUGUGUGAACUAAAAAUAAAAUUUUGAAAAAGUAUUUA